UACGUAGGUGGCAAGCGUUGUCCGGAAUUACUGGGUGUAAAGCGCGUGUAGGCGGGAGGCCAAGUCUGUGGUGAAAUCGCCUGGCCUAACUGGGCGGGGUCCAUGGAAACUGGUCACCUGGAGGUCGGUAGAGGCAAGUGGAAUUCCCGGUGUAGUGGUGAAAUGCGUAGAGAUCGGGAGGAACACCAGUGGCGAAGGCGGCUUGCUGGGCCGGACCUGACGCUGAGACGCGAAGGCGUGGGGAGCGAACGGG
rnacentral:rRNA from 1 species